rnacentral:rRNA from 1 species
GAGUUUGAUCAUGGCUCAGGAUGAACGCUGGCGGCGUGCCUAACACAUGCAAGUCGAACGAAGCAAUCGGGAUGAAGUUUUCGGAUGGAUUCCUGGUUGACUGAGUGGCGGACGGGUGAGUAACGCGUGGGAUAACCUGCCUCACACUGGGGGAUAACAGUUAGAAAUGGCUGCUAAUACCGCAUAAGCGCACAGUACCGCAUGGUACGGUGUGAAAAAACCCAGGUGGUGUGAGAUGGGAUCCGCGUCUGAUUAGCCAGUUGGCGGGGUAACGGCCACCAAAGCGACGAUCAGUAGCCGACCUGAGAGGGUGACCGGCACAUUGGGACUGAGACACGGCCCAAA